AUGCACGCUGGCGGCGUGCCUCAUCCAUGCCAGUCGCGCGAACAGACGAGGAGCUUGCUCCUCUGACGUUAGCGGCGGACGGGUGAGUAACACGUGGAUAACCUACCUAUAAGACUGGGAUAACUUCGGGAAACCGGAGCUAAUACCGGAUAAUAUAUUGAACCGCAUGGUUCAAUAGUGAAAGACGGUUUUGCUGUCACUUAUAGAUGGAUCCGCGCCGCAUUAGCUAGUUGGUAAGGUAACGGCUUACCAAGGCAACGAUGCGUAGCCGACCUGAGAGGGUGAUCGGCCACACUGGAACUGAGACACGGUCCAGACUCCUACGGGAGGCAGCAGUAGGGAAUCUUCCGCAAGGGGCGAAAGCUUGACGGAGCAACGCCGCGGGAGUGAGGAAGGUCUUCGGAUCGUAAAACUCUGUUAUUAGGGAAGAACAAAUGUGUAAGUAACUAUGCACGUCUUGACGGUACCAAAUCAGAAAGCAACGGCAAACUACGG
rnacentral:rRNA from 1 species